AGGGCUGACAAACAACUAUCCGGAGGUAUGCUAGUGAGUCACGCUGUGGAGAUCUGCCUUUAUGUUGUGGAAAGGGCCCGGGAUGGAAGGAGCAUCAUGGGACCAGCCAGUAAAAUUCCACUACGCUCUGAAGCCCAUUUGGAGGUGAUUUCAAAACACUGGGCUUUUUCCGGCCCCGACCUGAUGGGAGGCUCUGGGUACCCUCAGGGUGCACGCGCGCAGACGCAGAGAACCCCCGGGGACUUGUACCUGGCAAGCUAAGGGAUUUUACUGGAUUGUGACUCGGUGGGAGCUCCUGGGCGCUGUCCUGCUUUGGCACCGGUCUCUCCAGAGUGGAGCCUGAAAACGUGAUGCUGUUUCCCGGCGAGGCAAGUCUGACAUCACAUCAUGACUCACCGCUCGAAACGUGCCAUUUAAUCUGUUGUGGAUCAAAUUUUGUGAAUUUGGAAAGUGGCUGGAUAACUUUUCUUCGUGUCUCUCUCUUUUUUUUUUUCUUCUGUUCCUGCUUGUGGUGAAAUACACACAACAUGAACUUCAUUGUUGUGAGCAUUUCAAAGUGGAUAAUUCAGGGGCAUGAAGUACAUGCUGAACGUGGACUUAAUUUUUCAGAAUUUGUUAUCACCCCUAACAGAAGUGCGACACCCAUCAGGCAGCAGUCACUCACCACUGCUAUCACCCACAGCCUCGGGCCACCACAGAUCUUUCUGUCUCUAUGGAUUUGUGGGUUCUGAACAUUACACAUUAAUGGAAUCCUACCCCAUGUGGCUUCUUCCACUUUGCGUAAUGAUUUCAAGGUUCGCUCAUAUCAUAUCGCCUAUCAGUCCUUCCCUCCUCUUUAUGGCCAAACAAUAUUCCAUUGUGUGGAUCCGCCACAUUGUAUUUAUCUAUUCACUUGUUGAUAGACCUGUGGGUUCUUUCACCUUUUGGCUGUUGUGAACGGUGCUUCCAUGAACAAUCCCGUAUAAAUUUUUGUUCAAACA